GCCCUGUUGGCUCGAGAGCGUCCACAUAACGCCGAGAGAGGCGUCAGCAGCGAUUCCGUUUGACAGGCAAUGGGAUGCGGACCACGACACGCUGCUCAACGACUACAACAACGCCAACAUCUGUGUCAGGUUGAAGACUCCAAUUCCCGUUGUAAUUGGAUGGAAAAGAGUGACUUGUUACAUUCAUCAAAUUCCACCCUUUGAUACUCUACAAAAUUAAGAAUGACCAACGGGCUUGAAGCGACAUAAGCCAAAGUAAGUGAUGACUUUUGCUUGCAACCACCUGGGAGAAAGGGCUGGGCCGAUAAAAGAUAUUAUAUCAAAUCUCGAUAAAAUUGAUGUCAAUACCAAUGAUAAGCUCUGGACUUUUUUGCUCUAUAUUUAUCUACAGUAAAAGUCAAUCAAACAGUAAAAAUAUGCAACAAUGGGAAUCUAAAAGUGUGUUGAUAUUAGAAAUGAACUAAAUUUUCUGCCGCCGAAAAUUUAUUGGCCGAAAAUAUGUUAUGCCACUUAAUGGACCCACUAAUUUUUAUGGCUUCAGUCAUUGUUGGGGUAGUCUUUAAAAUCUAGAAACAUCUUAUAUCGAAAUAUAUAC
ensembl:processed_transcript